ACCCAUGAUUGGGCCUCCACGUGAAGUAGCCCUGUGGCAUCAAUACCUGAAGCCAGUGUUCACUUUUGCAUCUACGUGCCUUCGCAACAUGUGCUUUGGACUUCUAAAUUUCAGCCACGCGAUGCUUACCCAAUUUUACAGCGUAGUUAGGUUCACCGUCACAACCCUACACUUUCAAUGGUUUCUUCCUUCCUUUCUUCCAACCCUUUAGAUGGCGUCUUCUUGUAAAACAUAGCUUUGAUUAGUAGGGAGGAAUUAUCCUCGUUCUUCAAAUGUCCAUAUCAACCUCUAGUUGAGGCUUCACACCUCAUAGGGUAUUUUAAACUUUGAGAACCCGAGAGAGCUUUUUGGUGGAACUAAAUGGAGUUCCACCAAACGAUUUGGUUUUCUGCUGCGAGUUUCCUUCGAUUCCAAUGAGGGAUUGUCGAUUUGAGGUUGAUUGGACCGAGAUUCCAACGAAUAUGCAUGAUGCCAACCUCAUCAAGUGGUAUUCAAAUACUUUGAGCUUGGAUCGUCGAGAGACAACUGUCAAUCUUCUUAUCUCAUUUUCUUAUUCCAAUGUAAUUACUUCUCUUGAAGGUGGAGUUGGAGUGCAUGGGGCUACUGUGAGGGAAUACAAGUGAGAUGGCUACCUGAGGGACUUUUGAGAAGUGAGUUGGGACUUAAAGUGCAAGACAUAUUUGUGGGAAUAUCAUUUUGGGGCUGGUCCGAGAGAGAGCAUUGCAGCCCAGGCCCAAUUUCUUUUAUUUUUGUGUUGUUUCUGAUAAUGUUGUCAUUGAUGCGAUCAAAUUAAUACUACUAAACUAUAGCAACGUCAGUAUUGCUAAGAUAGUAGUCAACAAAAUAGAUAGGGUAAAGUAACCCAAAGUCGUCUCUCAACGAACACGGAAUUGAUUUU